rnacentral:rRNA from 1 species
AAAGCAUUCUCUGGUGUUGAAGGCCCUGCAAAGCAGCAUCGCGGUGGCGGAGCGUCGUUUGCGACGCCCAACACACAAAACAAGCGGUGAAUGCUUUGGGGUGGGGUGACUGCGUACCUUUUGUAUAAUGGGUCAGCGACUUAUAUUCUGUAGCAAGGUUAACCGAAUAGGGGAGCCGGAGGGAAACCGAGUCUUAAUUGGGCGUUAAGUUGCAGGGUAUAGACCCGAAACCCGGUGAUCUAGCCAUGGGCAGGUUGAAGGUUGGGUAACACUAACUGGAGGACCGAACCGACUAAUGUUGAAAAAUUAGCGGAUGACCUGUGGCUGGGGGUGAAAGGCCAAUCAAACCGAGAGAUAGCUGGUUCUCCCCGAAAGCUAUUUAGGUAGCGCCUCGUGAAUUCAUCUCCGGGGGUAGAGCACUGUUUCGGCUAGGGGGCCAUCCCGGCUUACCAACCCGAUGCAAACUGCGAAUACCGGAGAAUGUUAUCACGGGAGACACACGGCGGGUGCUAACGUCCGUCGUGAAGAGGGAAACAACCCAGACCGCCAGCUAAGGUCCCAAAGUCAUGGUUAAGUGGGAAACGAUGUGGGAAGGCCCAGACAGCCAGGAUGUUGGCUUAGAAGCAGCCAUCAUUUAAAGAAAGCGUAAUAGCUCACUGGUCGAGUCGGCCUGCGCGGAAGAUGUAACGGGGCUAAACCAUGCACCGAAGCUGCGGCAGCGACGCUGAUGCGUUGUUGGGUAGGGGAGCGUUCUGUAAGCCUGCGAAGGUGACCUGUGAGGGUUGCUGGAGGUAUCAGAAGUGCGAAUGCUGACAUAAGUAACGAUAAAGCGGGUGAAAAGCCCGCUCGCCGGAAGACCAAGGGUUCCUGUCCAACGUUAAUCGGGGCAGGGUGAGUCGACCCCUAAGGCGAGGCCGAAAGGCGUAGUCGAUGGGAAACGGGUUAAUAUUCCCGUACUUGGUGUUACUGCGAAGGGGGGACGGAGAAGGCUAUGUUGGCCGGGCGACGGUUGUCCCGGUUUAAGCGUGUAGGUGUGUGUUCCAGGUAAAUCCGGUUCACUUUAACACUGAGGCGUGAUGACGAGGCACUACGGUGCUGAAGCAACAAAUGCCCUGCUUCCAGGAAAAGCCUCUAAGCAUCAGGUAACAUCAAAUCGUACCCCAAACCGACACAGGUGGUCAGGUAGAGAAUACCAAGGCGCUUGAGAGAACUCGGGUGAAGGAACUAGGCAAAAUGGUGCCGUAACUUCGGGAGAAGGCACGCUGACACGUAGGUGAAGUGAUUUACUCACGGAGCUGAAGUCAGUCGAAGAUACCAGCUGGCUGCAACUGUUUAUUAAAAACACAGCACUGUGCAAACACGAAAGUG